rnacentral:rRNA from 1 species
CAGCAGCCACGGGAAUACGGAGGGUGCGAGCGUUAAUCGGAAUUACUGGGCGUAAAGCGUACGCAGGCGGUUUGUUAAGUCAGAUGUGAAAUCCCCGGGCUUAACCCGGGAACUGCAUUUGAAACUGGCAGGCUAGAGUCUCGUAGAGGGGGGUAGAAUUCCAGGUGUAGCGGUGAAAUGCGUAGAGAUCUGGAGGAAUACCGGUGGCGAAGGCGGCCCCCUGGACGAAGACUGACGCUCAGGUACGAAAGCGUGGGGAGCAAACAGGAUUAGAUACCCCAGUAGUCCCUGUCUCUUAUAA